UUUUUGAAGAGCAAUCUGCCCGACCGCGCGCGCGAGAUCGCGCGGCGCGAGACGCUCAUCCACGACGGGUCGGUUCGCGCGUCCGCGCGUUCGACCCCGGAAGUGCGAUGUUCGCGCAGUUCGAGGACGAGGACGAUGACUACGACGCCGUGGAAGAGGUCCGUCGCGACGCCGUUCCUCGACGAGAUUCAUUCAUUCAUUCCUCUCCUCCCCCGAGAGAACCCUCGCGCGUCGAUCGAUCCCGUCGUCGCCUCGUCGAUCGAUCGCGGGCCUCCGCCUCGAUCGCCCCCACCCCCCUCCCCCGCCCCAUCGUCCGAUCCCUCCCGCUCACGCCGCGCUCCUCCUCCUCCUCCCCCUCCUCGCGUCGCGAUCGCAGGAGCGACCGACGACGGCGCCUGCCCCGCCGGGCGCGGCGCCGGUGCCGACGAUCCCCGCGGCCGACGCCGCGACGUUCGCGGCGGUCCAGCCCGGGGGCGACGGCGACGGCGACGGCGACGGCGACGAUUACGACGACUACGACGACGAGGGCGAGGAAGAGGGCGAGGGCGANNNNN
rnacentral:lncRNA from 1 species